rnacentral:tRNA from 1 species
UGGCUCAGUGGUAAAGCAUCUGCCUGCUAAUGCAGGGGACGUAGGUUAGAUCCCUAC